AGUACACCGACUGGGGAAGAAAGACAAUGCAGUGAGCAACAAGGUGCCAAGACCAAUCAUCAUACAGUUCAGCAUGAGGACAGCAAGGGAUGAAGUAUGGAGGAAAUCCAAAGAGGCCAGGGUCUGCAAAGAACUGAACAUAAAAUUUAAAGAAGACUUCUCCAAAGAAGACCGUGAAGCUCGGAUCAAGCUGUGGCCCAAGGUGCAGGAAGCUCGAAACAACGGCAAAAGAGCAUUCCUAAAGGAGGGUUAUGCAAUAAUAGACGGUAAAAGGAUCGAUCUGUGAGAUGCACUUGAAGAAGUCACUACAAGUUAACCAUAAAAUGUGGGUAUGUAUGUGUGUAUAUAUAUGUUUAUAUAUACAUAUCUGUUAAAAAUACACAAAUAAAAAAUAGGAGAGGGUCAAAAAGCAAAGCCGUAGUUAAACGUGGGCUAUCCAGAGCUAAAAUUGCCGCAUAUAUAAAGAGGUAGUACUGUGAUAGGGUCGGAGUACUGUUAUGAUUACAUAGGUAGGACACUAGGCUUAUUCCUGCUUCAAGCACUUUUUUUUUUUUCUUCUAGUAAGUGCCAAGGAAGCCGUUACUGUUCUUGUUUUGUAUUUUGUUCUUGCGUUUUGUUUUUGUUUUUUCUUUAUCUUAUAGAUGGCUGUUUUAUUAAGUUCCUUAAAUGUUCGAGGCUUAAAAAAACAAUGUCAAACGUAAGGCCAUGUUCUUAUUCUGCAAGGAACUUAAGGCAAACAUUUUGUUUUUACAAGAAACACAUUCUGGUAAGGAAGAGGAAACAUUUUGGAAACAUCAAUGGGGAGAUAGUAUUCUUUAUUCACAUGGUACUACUCACUCAGCAGGAGUUAUGAUCUUAUUCAACAAAUUUGCAGGGAGAGUUAUUGAUCAUAAAAGCGACGGAAUGGGGCAUUGGAUCAUGGUGUUGGUAGAAGUCUGUGAACAGAAAAUUAUUCUUAUUAACGUGUAUGGAUACAAUAACAGGUCGCUAAAUAGAAAUAUGAUGUCUAACUUAAGUAAAUUAAUUGCAAAGUGGAGUACUACAUAUGGUUCUACCCAGGUGAUAACUGGAGGCGAUUUUAACCUGGCUCCUAACUCAUGGCUUGACAGACAACCACAAAGAGGAAAUCAACCAGAACACGAUAGCAUUAUUUGUGACUUUUGUACGACAACCAAUAUGAUCGAUUAUUGGAGGAUGACAAACCCAAAUACGAAGAAAUAUACUUGGUUUAGUCCAUCAAAUAAAAACGUAUGUUCAAGAUUAGAUUAUUGGCUUGUCUCCC
ensembl:lncRNA